rnacentral:rRNA from 1 species
GACGAACGCUGGCGGCGUGCUUAACACAUGCAAGUCGAACGGAAAGGCCCUGCUUUUGUGGGGUGCUCGAGUGGCGAACGGGUGAGUAACACGUGAGUAACCUGCCCUUGACUUUGGGAUAACUUCAGGAAACUGGGGCUAAUACCGGAUAGGAGCUCCUGCUGCAUGGUGGGGGUUGGAAAGUUUCGGCGGUUGGGGAUGGACUCGCGGCUUAUCAGCUUGUUGGUGGGGUAGUGGCUUACCAAGGCUUUGACGGGUAGCCGGCCUGAGAGGGUGACCGGCAACAUUGGGACUGAGAUAGGGACCAGACUCGUACGGGAGGCAGCAGGGGGGAAUAGUGAACAAUGGGCGGAAGCCUGAUGCAGCAACGCCGCGUGCGGGAUGACGGGCUUCGGGUUGUAAACAGCUGUCGCCUGUGACGAAGCGUGAGUGACGGUAAUGGGUAAAGAAGCACCGGCUAACUACGUG